AGCGAACGCUGGCGGCAGGCCUAACACAUGCAAGUCGAGCGCCCCGCAAGGGGAGCGGCAGACGGGAGAGUAACACGUGGGAACGUACCCUUCGGUUCGGAACAACCCAGGGAAACUUGGGCUAAUACCGGAUACGUCCGAAAGGAGAAAGAUUUAUCGCCGAAGGAUCGGCCCGCGUCUGAUUAGCUAGUUGGUGGGGUAAUGGCGCCCCAAGGCGACGAUCAGUAGCUGGUCCGAGAGGAUGAUCAGCCUCACUGGGACUGAGACACGGCCCAGACUCCUACGGGAGGCAGCAGUGGGGAAUAUUGGACAAUGGGCGCAAGCCUGAUCCAGCCACGCCGCGUGGGUGAUGAAGGCCCUAGGGUUGUAAAGCACUUUCGGCGGGGAAGAUAAUGACGGUACCCGCAGAAGAAGCCCCGGCUAGCUUCGUGCCAGCCGCCGCGGUAAUAC
rnacentral:rRNA from 1 species